AGUUUACAGAUAUUAAUGUACAUUCACAUCGGAAAACCGAGAAUAACACUGAAAACCAAACAACAGAAAUAAAGAAAACUACACCAAAAUUAAACUUCUUUCAACAAAAUUCUGAUGAAGUUGUAUUGUCUUGAUUAAAAAAUAAAAUAAGGUGUUGAGUCCAAAACUGUAAUAUAUAUAAAUAACAUAUUGUCUUUCUCUUUUCUUUUUCUUUUUAGCGUAAGUAUAAUAUUUUCGUUGGAAAAAAUCGAAUGCAAACCAUAUAAACCAAAAUGGAAAGAGAUCAGAGUAAGAAGAAGACUGACACCACCGCAGCCGGGGACAAGAGCACGGCCAAGAGGGAGUGAGCAAGUGUCGACAAGAUGAACGAUGAGAGGUGUGGCUCUUCCUUGGUCCCAUGGUGUUAUCUCUUCUUCCCAACAUUUCUCCCAUCCACCUGCAAUAUAUACAUUUUAUAUUAUAUAUUACGUACGGUAAAAAUAUAAAUGUUUAAAUAACUUUCUGGUCUAUAUAAAGCCUCUUACAAAAAAAAAAAAAAAAACUUUCUGGUCUAUAUAUGGAUAAUUAAAUUCACAAAAAUGAUAUAAGUCAAUCACCAUUACGAAUUGAAUUUCUGAUGAGUAGAAAAUUCGUUAAACUUAACAAUUAAUAUACAUGAACUUUGUAUGUUCAGAAAGCUGUUGAUUUUGGUUAUAACUAAUUGUAAACUCAUUGCUAUAUAUGGACAGAAGACCUAUAUAAAUCUCUGUUAAUUGUGAAAAAAAGAAAGAAUCAUCAAGGGAAGAAUGAAUAUGAAUCACCGACCUUCUUCAACAGUUUUGUGCAGGAAAGUAGCAACUUCUUCAGGAGUAGGAAUAACGUUUCCUCCACCGUUGCUCUGACCUUGACGUUCUUCAGCCAUUUCUAGGGGUUCUCAAGCUCUAUCCCUCUCUUUCUUCUAUUUAUUGCUUUAUCCUUUAUAUAUACAAUAUAUAGGGAAUAUUUUUCUUUUUGAUGGUCUUGAAAUUGUGAAAAACUUUUAACACAUGCUACUUAUCUAUAAAGACGAUACAAAAUUGAAUUAUUAUUAUUAUAUUUAACAAAAAGGAAAUUAAAACAGUAAUUUAACAAACGUGAUCUUGCAUAAAGGUUAUAUAUAUAUAUAUAUUUUGCUUUCACCCUCGAGCCUUUCUGCCCAUUUUUGUGUGCCUUCUCAUUGGACCACGUUGCACUAUUUUAGUUUUUUUUUAAGUUAGGUCCUCAAUAUUCAGUUAUUCACGAUGGGGCGAUUGUAAAAAUGAUCCGAGUAAAUUACUCAUUUCAUUAUUGUAACGUAGAAAAAAAAGAUAGAUAUAUAAAAUGUCGAAAGGCCAUGAACAUGAUGCAUUCUUAUCCAUCGUAUGAAAGUCAGAAGCAAGUGGGAUCAGUGGCCCUGGUUUCCACUCAAUUAUUCACCAAUUCCCACCACAAUAAUUAGAUAUUGAACAUUUUCUGUGUACAACAUUCAUUUAAAGAACUCUUUCUGAGGGGCUCACAAGUCUCACGACUCACGAGUGAGAUUAAUUAGGUGUGAUCAAGGGACCACACAUAAAUUUAAUAGAAGCAAUGAAACAGAGUAAUUAAGAUCUCACACUACUGGAUUAUAUGUGAGUACGUCGUGUUCUUAACUUAAACCAAAAAAACGACGAAAACGUUUUGGAGUGUGACACGCCUCUUUCUCUUUGAGGUGUGCCAAUUUCACCAACAAGGAAUCAUACUGUGGAUUAUUAAUAAAAAUUUCUUAGAAGGAAAGAAACUUGAAAGCUUGCAAAGACAAAAACUCUAAUUGGAAAAGGAAAAUCUUUUAUUACAUUGAAACACAAGCGCUGGAUAAACAAGCACACACCAAAUGAAAGAGAGGAAACAUAUAUGGGACAUAACAACAAGGGGAUAGAUCUGGUCCCUCGUAGAGUAGACGCUGGUCACGGUCUGAUAAGUAUCACAUUCAAACAUUACAUAUUUUACAUAGAGUACUAUGAUGGUACUCAAUUUAUUCUUUAAUAUUGAUUACAACAUUACACACAUAUAACACUGAUCUUACUAAACAGCGUAAGAUCUCUCUCUCUCUUGAAUCAGUUGAUCUUCUUCCACCUCGCAAGCUUCUCUUUGCCCUGUUUUUAUGCGUACACCCGAAGAAGGAUGAUCAUUAUAAUAUGAUUUGAACGGCAGUUAGUUAACUUAUAAAUUUAUACUAUUUUAUGUAACGGGGAAAAAAAGGAAAUCAUACUAUAAACGACAUCAGUCAGUAAUAAAAAUAUCAACUUUUAUUCUGAUAUAACAUAUAUGUCAAGUGUCAACUCGCACAACAUGAGUGUAUUAUUUGUACCUUACGAGUGGGGAUGGAGUCUGGGUUCUCCUCAAUGGACACUGCUUUAAAUCCUACCGGAACCAACACGUCUUCGUAUCUGAACAUCAGAAAAUUAAGAAUAUAACAAAACUACAAAACACUAGUUCAAAAGGAAUGAUUAAUUACGUAUAAGACACAUUUGAGGGUUAAUUUUACGUACGAAGACAAAGCUACUUUGUAGGGAGCUCCACCCUCGUGGUCGGUCAUCUAAUCAAUAAAAACGCAAAGUAUUAAUGAUUCAUAUAAUAUACUCUGUGAUUAUACAUCUAUUAUAUGGUUGAAUUAUGGAACAUUCACACAUGAAGAGAUAUAUGAAAAUAAUCACCGGAUACAUAAGUGUUAUGAGCUCGCCGUCAGGUUUUAGGAGUUCAUGCAUGGAUUUACCCCAUGCAGUUCUCAUCUCCGGUUCAAUUGCGCAGAAAAACCUGAAUAUAUAUAUUGUUAGUUAAUUAGUAACUACUCGAUCGUUGCUAAAGUUUUUAUUUUCAUUGUUAAUUAAACUCACACAUAAUCGAAGAUGAGGUCGAAUUUUUCGUUAGGACGCCAAGUGAAGACAUCUUCCUUCACAAACGAAAAGUAUUCUACCUUCGGUGAGGAGCCGUAAGUCUAUAUAUAAUCAAAGGAAAGCGAUUAGUUUUUUCAGUAUGUGUUUAAAGACAAACGUUAUUUAUCAGGAUUGUGAGGUGAUAAAUGAUCAGAAAGACUAAAAAAAUGUGGAUAACCUCAUUAGCUUUCUUGAGAGCCUUUUCAGAAAUAUCCAAUCCAACGACGAAACGUUUAGGGCUUGCCAUGGCAACGACAUCGUGCCCCUAAUCACAUUCGUAUAUAUCGUAUACACAUAAGUUAAAUUACAAGCAUUUAAUUGUUUUAGAAUUUUACACUAGCUAGAAAGCGACUAAACAUGAAAUACUUACGCGAUUCAACCUAGAAAGUGAAACGUGAUGAUAUUCAUUAGGUUAAAAUUAUCUUAACAUACAAGAAACCAAGAUUAAAACCAAAGACCAACCAAAAUAAUUAAAGAAAACUACACCAUAUAUUUUCUUAAAAUUUAUCUUUGUUGUUUUAAUAUCCAAAAUCUAAAAGUAUUAUAUGAUAUUUUAAAACUAAAAACCGAACUCAAAUUAAAUUGAGAAAGAGAGGACUAAUGAAUUACUCCGCCACAGCCGGGGACAAGAGUACGGCCAAGAGGGAGAGAUGAAGAGUCGAGAAGAUGAAGAAUGAGAGGUGUGGCUCUUCCUUG
rnacentral:lncRNA from 1 species